GAUGAACGCUGGCGGCGUGCCUAAUACAUGCAAGUCGAGCGAACAGACGAGGAGCUUGCUCCUCUGACGUUAGCGGCGGACGGGUGAGUAACACGUGGAUAACCUACCUAUAAGACUGGGAUAACUUCGGGAAACCGGAGCUAAUACCGGAUAAUAUAUUGAACCGCAUGGUUCAUUAGUGAACGACGGUUUUGCUGUGCCUAAUAGAUGGAUCCGCGCCGCAUUAGCUAGUUGGUAAGGUAACGGCUUACCAAGGCAACGAUGCGUAGCCGACCUGAGAGGGUGAUCGGCCACACUGGAACUGAGACACGGUCCAGACUCCUACGGGAGGCAGCAGUAGGGAAUCUUCCGCAAUGGGCGAAAGCUUGACGGAGCAACGCCGCGUGAGUGAUGAAGGUCUUCGGAUCGUAAAACUCUGUUAUUAGGGAAGAACAAAUGUGUGAGUAACUAUGCACGUCUUGACGGUACCUAAUCAGAAAGCCACGGCUAACUACGUG
rnacentral:rRNA from 1 species